GGCCUUAGCUUAGUGUACAGCAUUUGCUCUGCAUGUAGAAGGACCCAGGUUCAAGCCCUGGCAUCUCCA